rnacentral:rRNA from 1 species
GAUGAACGCUGGCGGCGUGCCUAAUACAUGCAAGUCGAGCGAACAGACGAGGAGCUUGCUCCUCUGACGUUAGCGGCGGACGGGUGAGUAACACGUGGAUAACCUACCUAUAAGACUGGGGUAACUUCGGGAAACCGGAGCUAAUACCGGAUAAUAUUUUGAACCGCAUGGUUCAAUAGUGAAAGACGGUUUUGCUGUCACUUAUAGAUGUAUCCGCGCCGCAUUAGCUAGUUGGUAAGGUAACGGCUUACCAAGGCAACGAUGCGUAGCCGACCUGAGAGGGUGAUCGGCCACACUGGAACUGAGACACGGUCCAGACUCCUACGGGAGGCAGCAGGAGGGAAUCUUCCGCAAUGGGCGAAAGCCUGACGGAGCAACGCCGCGUGAGUGAUGAAGGUCUUCGGAUCGUAAAACUCUGUUAUUAGGGAAGAACAAAUGUGUAAGUAACUAUGCACGUCUUGACGGUACCUAAUCAGAAAGCCACGGCUAACUACGUG